rnacentral:lncRNA from 1 species
GAAAACCGAGCAGGUCGCCGCAAAACCCCCUCCCCUGUUCGUCGCCAAUCCCCAUUUCCCACGACACAAACCCCCGCCCCCUCGCUCCGCCAACCCAACCAACUCCGCUCCGCCCCCCAUCGAGCUCGAGAAGCUUCCAGCAGCUAGGGUUUCCUGGACCGAUGGCCGUCGCUGACGCGGCGCUGCCCUCGCCGCCGCCGCCCCCGCCCC